UACGAAGGGGGGCUAGCGUUGUUCGGAAUUACUGGGCGUAAAGGGCGCGUAGGCGGUCCUUCAAGUCAGGCGUGAAAGCCCCCGGGGCUCAACCUGGGGAACCCGCGCUUGAGACUGGCGGGGCUAGAGUUCGGGGAGAGGAUGGUGGAAUUCCCCAGUGUAGAGGUGAAAUUCGUAGAUAUUGGGGAAGAACACCGAUGGCGAAGGGCAGCCCAUCUGGGACCCGACACUGACGCUGAGGCGCGAAAGCGUGGGGAGCAAACAGG
rnacentral:rRNA from 1 species